UGGGCAACCUGCCCCUGACACGUGGGAUAACCCCGGGGAAACCGGAGCGUAAUACCGGAUACUC
rnacentral:rRNA from 1 species